UACGUAGGGCGCAAGCGUUGUCCGGAAUUAUUGGGCGUAAAGAGCUCGUAGGCGGCCUGUUGCGUCCGCUGUGAAAUCCCGGGGCUCAACCCCCGGGCCUGCAGUGGAUACGGGCUGGCUGGAGGCAGGCAGGGGAGAACGGAAUUCCUGGUGUAGCGGUGAAAUGCGCGGAUAUCAGGAGGAACACCGGUGGCGAAGGCGGUUCUCUGGGCCUGUACUGACGCUGAGGCGCGAAAGCCAGGGGGAGCGAACGGG
rnacentral:rRNA from 1 species